rnacentral:rRNA from 1 species
UAAUACAUGCAAGUAGAACGCUGAAGAGAGGAGCUUGCUCUUCUUGGAUGAGUUGCGAACGGGUGAGUAACGCGUAGGUAACCUGCCUUGUAGCGGGGGAUAACUAUUGGAAACGAUAGCUAAUACCGCAUAACAAUGGAUGACACAUGUCAUUUAUUUGAAAGGGGCAAUUGCUCCACUACAAGAUGGACCUGCGUUGUAUUAGCUAGUAGGUGAGGUAACGGCUCACCUAGGCGACGAUACAUAGCCGACCUGAGAGGGUGAUCGGCCACACUGGGACUGAGACACGGCCCAGACUCCUACGGGAGGCAGCAGUAGGGAAUCUUCGGCAAUGGGGGCAACCCUGACCGAGCAACGCCGCGUGAGUGAAGAAGGUUUUCGGAUUGUAAAGCUCUGUUGUAAGUCAAGAACGAGUGUGAGAGUGGAAAGUUCACACUGUGACGGUAGCUUACCAGAAAGGGACGGCUAACUACGUGCCAGCAGCCGCGGUAAUACGUAGGUCCCGAGCGUUGUCCGGAUUUAUUGGGCGUAAAGCGAGCGCAGGCGGUUUGAUAAGUCUGAAGUUAAAGGCUGUGGCUCAACCAUAGUUCGCUUUGGAAACUGUCAAACUUGAGUGCAGAAGGGGAGAGUGGAAUUCCAUGUGUAGCGGUGAAAUGCGUCCACAUAUGGAGGAACACCGGUGGCGAAAGCGGCUCUCUGGUCUGU